rnacentral:misc_RNA from 1 species
UUUCCGUAGGUGAACCUGCGGAAGGAUCAUUCAUAAUAGGGUGUUUUAUGGCACUUUUUAAAAAUCCAUAUCCACCUUGUGUGCAAUGUUAGAUCUCGUCAAUCUUGGCGAGAUUUUUAUACAUCAACUCAUUCUUUAACUAAUUUGUCUCAAAAAUAUUAUGAAUACUUAAUUCAAAAUACAACUUUCAACAACGGAUCUCUUGGCUCUC